rnacentral:rRNA from 1 species
GAUGAACGCUGGCGGCGUGCCUAAUACAUGCAAGUCGAGCGAACAGACGAGGAGCUUGCUCCUCUGACGUUAGCGGCGGACGGGUGAGUAACACGUGGAUAACCUACCUAUAAGACUGGGAUAACUUCGGGAAACCGGAGCUAAUACCGGAUAAUAUAUUGAACCGCAUGGUUCAAUAGUGAAAGACGGUUUUGCUGUCACUUAUAGAUGGAUCCGCGCCGCAUUAGCUAGUUGGUAAGGUAACGGCUUACCAAGGCAACGAUGCGUAGCCGACCUGAGAGGGGGAUCGGCCACACUGGAACUGAGACACGGUCCAGACUCCUACGGGAGGCAGCAGUAGGGAAUCUUCCGCAAGGGGCGAAAGCUUGACGGAGCAACGCCGCGUGAGUGAUGAAGGGCUUCGGAUCGUAAAACGCUGUUAUUAGGGAAGAACAAAUGUGUAAGUAACUAUGCACGUCUUGACGGUACCUAAUCAGAAAGCCACGGCUAACUACGU